ACGGGGUGCAGCAGGCGCGAAAACUUUGCAAUGUGCGAAAGCACGACAAGGUUAAUCCGAGUGGUUUGUGCUAAACGAACCUUUUGUUAGUCCUAGAAACACUAACGAAUAAGGGGUGGGCAAGUUCUGGUGUCAGCCGCCGCGGUAAAACCAGCACCUCAAGUGGUCAGGAUGAUUAUUGGGCCUAAAGCAUCCGUAGCCGGCUCUGUAAGUUUUCGGUUAAAUCUGUACGCUCAACGUACAGGCUGCCGGGAAUACUGCAGAGCUAGGGAGUGGGAGAGGUAGACGGUACUCGGGAGGAAGUGGUAAAAUGCUUUGAUCUUUCGAUGACCACCUGUGGCGAAGGCGGUCUACCAGAACACGUCCGACGGUGAGGGAUGAAAGCUGGGGGAGCAAACCGGAUUAGAUACCCGGGUAGUCCCAGCUGUAAACUAUGCAAACUCAGUGAUGCAUUGGCUUGUGGCCAAUGCAGUGUUGCAGGGAAGCCGUUAAGUUUGCCGCCUGGAAGUACGUACGCAAGUA
rnacentral:rRNA from 1 species